AAAGUAAAACCAUAGAAAGUGAUAGUCUUGUAAUCGAAAAUAUAUUAAUUAGAAAUAGCUAAUCCCAAGUAAUAUGGAACACGUGAAAUUCCGUAUGAAUCAGCGAGAACCAUCUCGUAAGGCUAAAUAUUACUGGAUGUCCAAUAGUGAACUAGUACCGUGAGGGAAAGGUGAAAAGAACCCCGGAAGGGGAGUGAAAAAGAACGUGAAAUUGCAAGCUUACAAACAGAAGAUAAACGACUUAACGUUUUUCUUCGUGCCUGUUGAAGAAUGUUCCGACGAGUUAUACUUAAUGGCAGGUUAAAAUAGAUAUAUUGAAGCCAUAGUGAAAGCGAGCUUGAAUAGAGCAUGAGUCAUUAAUUAUAGACCCGAACCCGCUUGAUCUAACCAUGGCCAGGAUGAAACUUAGGUAAUACUAAAUGGAGGUCCGAACCGACUAAUGUUGAAAAAUUAGCGGAUGAGUUGUGGUUAGGGGUGAAAUGCCAAUCGAAAGCGGAGCUAGCUGGUUCUCCCCGAAAUGUAUUUAGGUACAGCGAUUAAUGUUCCAAUAUAGGGGUAAAGCACUGUUUUAAUGCGGGCUGGUAACUCGGUACCUAAUUAAGGCAAACUCUGAAUACUAUAUGUAUAAUUAAUCAGUGAGACUACGAGGGAUAAGCUUCGUAGUCAAAAGGGAAAUAGCCCAGAUCACCAGUUAAGGCCCCAAAAUAUGUACUAAGUGAUAAAGGUAGUUAAAACACUUAAACAACCAGGAGGUUUGCUUAGAAGCAGCAAUCCUUUAAAAAGUGCGUAAUAGCUUACUGGUCUAGUUUUUUUGCGCCGAAAACUUACGGGACUAAGUACUUUGCCGAAGCUGUGAGAUAUAUAUUUAUUUAUAUCGGUAGGGGAGCGUUCCAUUGUAGUAUGAAGUACUAGUGAAAACGGGUAUUGACGAAGUGGAAGUGAGAAUGUCGGAUUGAGUAGCGAAAACAUUGGUGAGAAUCCAAUGCUCCGAAACCCUAAGGUUUCCUCUGGAAGGCUCGUCCACAGAGGGUUAGUCAGAACCUAAGAUAAGGCUGAAAAGCGUAGUCGAUGGACAAUAGGUUAAUAUUCCUAUACUAAUUUUUAUUGAUAUUGAAUGACGAAGAAGGCUAUAUUUGCCGGGUGUUGGGUUACCGGUUUAAAUAUUUAAGAUGUUGACAAGUAGAGAAAAUACUUUGAAUUGAAAAUAUGAAUACAAAAUUAAGUUUUAAUUAAAGAAAUAGAUGUCAUACUUCCUAGAAAAAUUCAUAAAAUCUUAAGUAAAAAUUAUCUGUACCCUAAACCGACACAGGUAGGGAGGUAGAGAAUACCAAGGAGCGCGAGAUAACCCUCCUUAAGGAACUCGGCAAAAUGACUCUGUAACUUCGGGAGAAAGAGUGCCUAUUAUAGGUUUCAAUAUAAAGUUCCAAGCAACUGUUUAACAAAAACACAGGUCUCCGCUAAGUUGUAAAACGAUGUAUGGGGGCUGACGCCUGCCCAGUGCCAGAAGGUUAAAGAAGUCGGUUAGCAAUUGCGAAGCUGGUAACUGAAGCCCUGGUGAACGGCGGCCGUAACUAUAACGGUCCUAAGGUAGCGAAAUUCCUUGUCGGGUAAGUUCCGACCCGCACGAAUGGCGUAAUGAUUUGGAAGCUGUCUCAAGGAGGGACUCGGCGAAAUAGAAAUGUCUGUGAAGAUGCGGACUACCUGCGCCAGGACAAUAAGACCCUAUGAAGCUUUACUGUAGUUUAAAACUGAUUUUUAUUUUUAUUUGCGCAGAAUAAGUGGGAGACUAAGAUUAUAUUUUUUUGGAAAUAUAUGAGUCAUUCGUGAGAUACCACUCUAAUAAAACAGAAAAUCUAACCAUACACCGUAAACCGGUUAAGGAACAAUUUUAAAUGGGCAGUUUGACUGGGGCGGUCACCUCCUAAAAGGUAACGGAGGUGUACAAAGGUUUCCUCAAAUCGGUUAGAAAUCGAUUUAAGAGUAUAAAGGCAAAAGGAAGCUUAACUGUGAGACAUACAAGUCAAACAGAGACGAAAGUCGGUCUUAGUGAUCUGACGUUUCUGUGUGGAAAGGGCGUCACUCAACGGAUAAAAGUUACUCUAGGGAUAACAGGCUGAUCUCCCCCAAGAGUCCAUAUCGACGGGGAGGUUUGGCACCUCGAUGUCGGCUCAUCGCAUCCUGGGGCGGUAUUACGUCCCAAGGGUUGGGCUGUUCUCCCAUUAAAGCGGUACGUGAGCUGGGUUCAGAACGUCGCGAGACAGUUCGGUCCAUAUCCGGCGUGGGCGUUAGAGUAUUGAGAGUGACUUUUCUCUAGUACGAGAGGAUCGAGAAAAACAUACCACUGGUGUACUAGUUAUUAUACCAAUAGUAAACGCUAGGUAGCUACGUAUGGUUAGGAUAACCGCUGAAAGCAUAUAAGUGGGAAGCCGUCCUCAAGAUGAGUACUCUUAUGAUUAUGGCAAGACUAGCCGUUAGAUAGGAAUCAGGUGUAAGUAUAGUAAUAUAUUCAGCCAAGAUUUACUAAAAAUCAUAUUUUUAAGUAA
rnacentral:rRNA from 1 species